GAAGUAUGGUUGCAAAGCUGAAACUUAAAGGAAUUGACGGAAGGGCACCACCAGGAGUGGAGCUUGCGGCUUAAUUUGACUCAACACGGGAAAACUCACCCGGCCCGGACACUGAGAGGAUUGACAGAUUGAGAGCUCUUUCUUGAUUCAGUGGGUGGUGGUGCAUGGCCGUUCUUAGUUGGUGGAGUGAUUUGUCUGGUUAAUUCCGAUAACG
rnacentral:ncRNA from 1 species